GUGAGGUGUAAGUCCUCAGAAUUUAAAGAGAUGGGCAAACAAGCUAAAUGGCUGAGUUAUAAACACAGGCUGCCCAAGAGGGAGGCAGCGGUAAUAAUGAAAUGCACGGUGGGAACCUCGACACACUGCACCAUAAAUCUAAAUCACUACCGUCAGCAGGACCUGGAAUUUCAGCUGAAACAAAAGACCUUGCAUCGACUGGGGAAAAAAAGAUGAGGAAACUUGGACCCAGAGAAAUGAAGAAGUGGCUUGACCAAGGUCAUACAGGAGACUCAUCAGGAAGUUCUCUGUUCAGCCAGAUGAACUUACACGGAGGUGAGCCUUUUGAUUGCAUCUCCCUCUGAAGACAGUGGGCAUGCCUAUUUGAGGAAAUCAGAAACAACAGAACAAGCAUUAGAUUUGGGUUUGUAUUCUACAUCUGCUCCUAAGAACCUUGGGCAAGUCAUUUUGUGUCCUAGGGCCUCAGUUUCCUCAACUCAUUUUUUAAAAUAAUAUUUUAUUUGAUCAUUUCCAAGCAUUAUUCAUUAAAGAUAAAGAUCAUUUUCUUUUCCUAACCACCCCCAUAGCCGAUGCAUGAUUCCACUGGGUAUCACAUGUGUUCUUGAUUCUAACCCAUUGCCAUGUUGUUAGUAUUUUCAUUAGAGUGUUCGUUUAGAGUCUCUCCUCUGUCAUGUCCCCUCAGCCACUGUAGUCAGGCAGUUGCUUUUCCUCAGUGUUUCUACUCCCACAGUUUGUCCUCUGCUUAUGGAUAGUGUUUUUUCAACCUUUGUCAGAGGUUUCUAUGAAGAUUUUUUCCCAAUUUGUUGUUUCCCUU
rnacentral:lncRNA from 1 species